UAGAGUUUGAUCCUGGCUCAGGAUGAACGCUAGCUACAGGCUUAACACAUGCAAGUCGAGGGGCAGCAUGAAGUUUGCUUGCAAACUUUGAUGGCGACCGGCGCACGGGUGAGUAACGCGUAUCCAACCUUCCCCUUACUAGGGAAUAGCCCGGCGAAAGUCGGAUUAAUGCCCUAUGUUCUCCUUUGCGGGCAUCUAACGAGGAGCAAAGAUUCAUCGGUAAGGGAUGGGGAUGCGUCUGAUUAGCCAGUUGGCGGGGUAACGGCCCACCAAGGCUACGAUCAGUAGGGGUUCUGAGAGGAAGGUCCCCCACAUUGGUACUGAGACACGGACCAAACUCCUACGGGAGGCAGCAGUGAGGAAUAUUGGUCAAUGGACGAGAGUCUGAACCAGCCAAGUAGCGUGCAGGACGACUGCCCUAUGGGUUGUAAACUGCUUUUAUGCGGGAAUAAAGUCAGGUACGUGUACCUGUUUGUAUGUACCGCAUGAAUAAGGACCGGCUAAUUCCGUGCCAGCAGCCGCGGUAAUACGGAAGGUCCGGGCGUUAUCCGGAUUUAUUGGGUUUAAAGGGAGCGCAGGCGGGUUAUUAAGCGUGUUGUGAAAUGCGGCGGCUCAACCGUCGAAUUGCAGCGCGAACUGGUUACCUUGAGUGAGUACGACGUCAGCGGAAUUCGUGGUGUAGCGGUGAAAUGCUUAGAUAUCACGAAGAACCCCGAUUGCGAAGGCAGCUGACGAGUCCUUAACUGACGCUAAUGCUCGAAAGUGCGGGUAUCGAACAGGAUUAGAUACCCUGGUAGUCCGCACGGUAAACGAUGGAUGCCCGCUGUUGGCGAUACAAUGUCAGCGGCCAAGCGAAAGCGUUAAGCAUCCCACCUGGGGAGUACGCCGGCAACGGUGAAACUCAAAGGAAUUGACGG
rnacentral:rRNA from 1 species